GAGCCAAAAUCCCAUGUGGAAUGGCUGAGGGAGCUGGGGGGGUUCAUCCUGGAGAAAAGGAGGCUCAGGGGGGACCUUCUCACUCUCCAAAACUCCCUAACAGGAGGUUGUGGUGAGGUGGGAGU